ACAAGGGCAAAUUUGUCAUUUUGGUCAAAGACAAAUUUUUAUGACUAGCUUUUUGGCCUUUCUAGAAGACUCGUGAAGUCAUUUUUCUUUCCAACAAUGAAGAAUUUCCAGAAGACUUGUUUCAUCCAAACUUAAAUUUUUCAAUUUCAUAACUUGACUUCAUCGAUACCGUGGUUAUUAUUCUACCCACUCUAUCUCGUAUGUUCUCUUUGAUUUUUCAUCGGUACAAAUUAGUUUUCUCUCUAAAGAAUACAGUGGUUUUGCAGAAGUUUGUUAUCAUAACAAUUUCCGGCAUUCAUAACGAUUGACUAAGUAUGUUGCACUUGGCUGAACUGGUUGAGAAACAUAAUGAUCAAAUUGCAACGUUCGAGACUUGGGACACUGAGAAGCCAUAUGAACAGGCUGUUAAGAUUGGAGUACGCUGGCUGGCUAGGCAGAUAAAAUUCUUGAUAUGACUAUUCCUGCUGAAGGACCAUAUUGCAUUCAAACGUUGCAUGAACGGAUUGAAUUUGCUGGUUAGAUUAUCUCAUGAAAUUUUCCUCUCCUCGUGUUCUCUUGGAAGAUGAGCCCUACUUUCACUUGUGGCGUUAAAAAUGCUGAGCAGACCCCUUUAACUACACUCUAUGUAGAAAAUCUGUUGCAGGAGAUAGCAUCAAAAUUCUCUCUUUUAUUGCCCAAAAGAGUCGUUUUGCACAUUAGCUUUAAACUCAGUAAGAACUACAUUGAGGUACAAUGUACCAUAUAAAGUCGGGGUUUCUUGAUUGACAUACGACAAAUGGAGAGCUCUGACUAUGCAUCGGUCUCUCACCAAAAAGUUUGUUCAAGUUGUGUGAUAUAUUUAGGUGGAAUGCUUUCGAUUUUUAGCCCUCAAAAGAAGAUGGUUGUGUUAUUCUUCAAAUAUAGAAUCAGAUUUUGUUAUCUUGAGUCAAUUGAAGCAAGUUUCCAAGGUGGAAACUGGAAAUAAUCUGUCAAAACAUGAGAAGGUUCAAAAACUUAUCAUGUAACAGUGGUUAGAAGCUUUAAGUCGCACAUAUAUUUUUGUCUAAUGUAUGUAAAAAAUAUAAUUAGAUCCAAAGUGCAUAUGAACUUAAACAAUUAUUUGUUUAAUCAAAUAUGCUGCAUUAGUAUAUUUAUCAGAUCAACAUUAAAGUUGCCUAAUGCAUGUAAUACUUUUAAUCUUUAUAUUUGAAUUAGAUGUCGUUGAAUUAAA